rnacentral:rRNA from 1 species
UACGUAGGGUGCAAGCGUUGUCCGGAAUUAUUGGGCGUAAAGCGCGUGUAGGCGGCUUUGCAAGUCGGGUGUGAAAGCCCUCAGCUCAACUGAGGAAGUGCGCCCGAAACUGCAGAGCUUGAGUACCGGAGAGGGUGGCGGAAUUCCCCAAGUAGAGGUGAAAUUCGUAGAUAUGGGGAGGAACACCGGUGGCGAAGGCGGCCGACCUGGACGGCACUGACGCUGAGACGCGAAAGCGUGGGGAGCAAACAGG